rnacentral:tRNA from 1 species
UCCCAGGUGGCUCAGUGAUAAAGAAUCUGCCUGCCAAGCAGGAGAUGAAAGUUCAAUCCCUUGAUUGGGAA